AACGAACGCUGGCGGCAUGCCUAACACAUGCAAGUCGAACGAGACCUUCGGGUCUAGUGGCGCACGGGUGCGUAACGCGUGGGAACCUGCCCUUAGGUUCGGAAUAACUCCCCGAAAGGGGUGCUAAUACCGGAUAAUGUCUUCGGACCAAAGAUUUAUCGCCUUUGGAUGGGCCCGCGUUGGAUUAGCUAGUUGGUAGGGUAAAAGCCUACCAAGGCGACGAUCCAUAGCUGGUCUGAGAGGAUGAUCAGCCACACUGGGACUGAGACACGGCCCAGACUCCUACGGGAGGCAGCAGUGGGGAAUAUGGGACAAUGGGCGAAAGCCUGAUCCGGCAAUGCCGCGUGAGUGAUGAAGGCCUUAGGGUUGUAAAGCUCUUUUACCCGGGAUGAUAAUGACAGUACCGGGAGAAUAAGCUCCGGCUAACUCCGU
rnacentral:rRNA from 1 species